UACGGGGGGGGUAAGCGUUGUUCGGAAUUACUGGGCGUAAAGGGCUCGUAGGCGGCCAACUAAGUCGGACGUGAAAUCCCUCAGCUUAACUGGGGAACUGCGUCCGAUACUGGAUGGCUUGGAUUUGGGAGAGGGAUGCGGAAUUCCAGGUGUAGCGGUGAAAUGCGUAGAUAUCAGGAGGAACACCUGUGGCGAAAGCGGCUCACUGGACCACAACUGACGCUGAGGCGCGAAAGCUAGGGGAGCAAACAGG
rnacentral:rRNA from 1 species